AACCUCCUCAAUGCACUAAAGUGCGAAGGGGUUACCUCGAGUGCCAUCUGAUGAAGGUGGCUUUUCCUUGGUCUAAAAAGCCUAGGGAAUAAGAGGGGGCAAGACUGGUGUCAGCCGCCGCGGUAACACCAGCCCCUCGAGUGGUGGGGAUGAUUAUUUGGCCUAAAGCGUCCGUAGCCGGCCGGGUAAGUUUCCCGUUAAAUCCAACGUCUCAAGCGUUGGACUGCGGGAAAUACUGCCUGGCUAGAGAGUGGGAGAGGUCAGCGGUAUUCUGGGGGUAGGGGCGAAAUCCUUUGAUCCCCGGAGGACCACCAGUGGCGAAGGCUGCUGACUAGAACACGUCUGACGGUCAGGGACGAGAGCUGGGGUAGCGAACCGGAUUAGAUACCCGGGUAG
rnacentral:rRNA from 1 species